rnacentral:lncRNA from 1 species
UCGAGCUGCGCGUACCACACACCCUGGAUCUUGACAUCCUUGGGCGCCUUGGCGCCGAGGUCGGUGUCUGACGGCUGCACGCUCUCGAAGACACCGAUCACCUCGCCGGUCUCCGGCUUGCUCUUGGUCACGCUGAGCGUGAUGUUGCCCGUGGACGAGGACGCGUUCUUCACGUUCUCCUUAGCCAACUCCUCCUCGUCUCCUCUGCCUCCGGCGGGUAGCGCCACGGCGUUGUCGUAGCCAGUAGAGCCACCACGGCCCUUUGGGUCGAGGAAAGACGAACCCCUGUAGCUGGGCACGAGGAAGGGCCCGCUGAAGCUCUCGGGCUUGCCGGUAGCGACGAGCUGCUUGACGGUGAAGAGGAAGGGCACUCGCUCGCCUCCGGGGAGCUGCACGGUGACGGCCGCGUAGUCGAUGCCGUCCUUCUCCUCGAACUUGAGGGUGCCGUCGGCGCCGACCUCGAGCGGGCCUUCCAUCUCGUCAAGGGUGUAGGUGAGACGGGUCAUGAGCUUGGUUUUCUGGAAGGCCGGCGGCUCGUUCUUCUGGAUGCCCUCGGCCUUGACGGUGAAGGAGGUGGGCUCCAGGCAGAACUUCUUCAUCUCGUACUUGCCGGCCUUGAAGGGGAAGGAGUCGACGCCGCCGUCGAUGGUCGGGCACUGGUUCGCGGUGCCGGUACCCUUCACCUCCAUGUAGGUCUUGCUCUGGAUCUCGUCGAAGGUCAGCCUCUU